rnacentral:rRNA from 1 species
GACGAACGCUGGCGGCGUGCCUAAUACAUGCAAGUUGAGCGCUGAAGGUUGGUCCUUGUACCAACUGGAUGAGCAGCGAACGGGUGAGUAACGCGUGGGGAAUCUGCCUUUGAGCGGGGGACAACAUUUGGAAACGAAUGCUAAUACCGCAUAAAAACUUUAAACACAAGUUUUAAGUUUGAAAGAUGCAAUUGCAUCACUCAAAGAUGAUCCCGCGUUGUAUUAGCUAGUUGGUGAGGUAAAGGCUCACCAAGGCGAUGAUACAUAGCCGACCUGAGAGGGUGAUCGGCCACAUUGGGACUGAGACACGGCCCAAACUCCUACGGGAGGCAGCAGUAGGGAAUCUUCGGCAAUGGACGAAAGUCUGACCGAGCAACGCCGCGGGAGUGAAGAAGGUUGUCGGAUCGUAAAACUCUGUUGGUAGAGAAGAACGUUGGUGAGAGUGGAAAGCUCAUCAAGUGACGGUAACUACACAGAAAGGGACGGCUAACUACGUG